UACGUAGGUGGCAAGCGUUGUCCGGAUUUAUUGGGUUUAAAGGGUGCGUAGGCGGCCCUGUAAGUCAGUGGUGAAAUACUCCAGCUUAACUGGAGGGGUGCCAUUGAUACUGCAGGGCUUGAGUGGAGUCGAAGUAGGCGGAAUUGACGGUGUAGCGGUGAAAUGCUUAGAUAUCGUCAAGAACACCGAUAGUGAAGACAGCUUACUAGGCUUCUACUGACGCUGAGGCACGAAAGUGUGGGGAUCAAACGGG
rnacentral:rRNA from 1 species